rnacentral:lncRNA from 1 species
CUCCAGCUGAGAAGGAAAAAAGGGUAACUUAGCACAUAUUCUAAGUUAAAAAUACCAUAUCACCUUACAGAUAAAAAUGCAUGAGUCACACUUAUCGCCCUAACUGUAUGGGUCACCAAUGUUUCUUCUUCUUCAUUUUUUAAACAUAUACUCAAAUCUAUAAGCUUUCCUAACACUAAGCAAUAAAUGUUUUCAUGACAAGAUAUCUUCAUAUCUAGCAACAGAAGCUCUUAACAGUUCAAGAUAACAAUUUAGAUGGCUCAGUGAAAAAAGAGACUCAAACAUUUUAGAAGAGUGUAAAAAUCAGCAGGCCCUUAAGUGUUGAUUUAACAAAAGCAAGUUUUCUUCCCCUUGAAGGCAGAAGAAGGAGUAGUUGAAUUUUCGGAAUUUGGCCCUACAGUAGCACCAUCAAAGUAUAAGCUAAACA